rnacentral:lncRNA from 1 species
CAGGGAAGGAGAAGAGAGAGAGACUAGAGGGAAAGAGAGAGGGAAGGAGAAGAGAGAGAGACUGAUGUAGCAGAGUGAGAAGUAAAAGGUUCCUUUAAUACGAGACUGAAUAGAUCUGAGUACACAGCCCUGAAGGACACACUGUUAGAGGAGAGAAAGAGAGGGGGAUGAGGAGAGAUGCAGAGAGUUGAAAGAGGGGCAGAGAGGAGGAGAACAAAUUCCAAUGGUCCUUACUUUCUCUGUUCCUACUGUGACUGAUUCAAUCUGUAUCUCCUCCUCUCCAUUCGGUCCUGAUGGAACCACAGACCACAAAAGGUUGUUGUGGUGGUUGUCUGUCCUCCUCUCCUUCCAUCCAUCCAUCCAUCCCUCCUUCCCCUCCUCUCCCCUCCUAUAUCCCUUACCCACUGCACUACCUCUUCUCUGUACCUCCCUCCCUCCUGUAACAGGACAGGGCUUGGUUGGCCUGGUGCCCGGCUGGCUGGCUGGCUGGCUGGCUGGCUGAGACAAAUGGCCCAGUCUGGCUGGGACUGGGGAUGGCGGGCGGGAUGGAGGGAGGGAGGGAGAGAGGGAGGGAGGGGUCCUAGGGUGUGGGGAAGUGUGCUGGGGCAUUGAUUUGCUAUUCCAAUGAUCCCUGCUUACAGUGAAUUACACUUGGCUGUACUCAGGCUUAAGUGUGUAUAAAUAAUCACCCAGAUUUGCCAGAUAAUGUAUUGUCCACAUAACAAAAUUACCAAGCCUCUGUCUGCUCCCCCAAAACAUCAACAAUAAAACAGUAAUAAAAGUGCAGUGCAUUACGACUGGAUGGGAAGUUCCAUCGUGUAUAGCUGUUUUUGACACACUUGAGUUGAAAAGGCACAGUGAGAUACUUAACAGUUAGUUCAAGUGAUGACCUUGGUAAAAAUUCUGUUGAUGCAGAAUUUUUGUAUUUUCUUUUUCUUACUCUCCGGAAUUUCCCUUUUCUCUUUUGAGUGUAUCACUUUAUUUUUCAUUUGGAUUGUUUCUCCUCCGUUUGCCAGCCCCUCAAUUUAGGGUGGGCAUUCUUUCUUUACAUCUUUCACAAGUGAAUGUAGAGUAAGAACUGUCAGACCAAGCACACAUAGCUACAAAACAUUGUAAUGUUUGUGUGAAUAUUCAAGAGAGAAGUGAGCUGCAUUUGGCAGGUAAAGCGAUAGGGACUCAAGCCGUAGUACUAAUGUGAGUGUAAUCUUCUCUACACAGCACUAUAUAUCAUACAGCCUGUGUGUUUGCGAAUAGGCCCCUAUGGAGCAAGAGGCAGAGAUUAGAGCAGGAGAGGCAUGUUUAACACAAUGAGACACAGAGACAGCAGCCAAACACACACGUACACACACACACACACACACACACAUACACAAACACACACACGCACACAUACACAAACACACACACAUAAACACACACACACACACAGCACUUUAUCAGUCUGGAUGAUGCCAGCCGAGCAGCAGGGGAAAACGGCAGCGGAGGAGAGAGAGAAAAGGAGAGGAGGAGAGGAGAGGAAGAGGAGAGGAGGAAAGGAGGAGAAGAGGAGGAGAGAGGGAGAGCUUGGGGUUUACCUGGUGCCAGGGUAAUUGCUUUGGCAACUGCCACUGUAAUCACACUAAAAAGCUGCCUCUGGAUCUUCAUUUGAAAAUGCAGAAAGGAGCAAGAUCAAAAGAGGGACGAAGGGGUGAGGUAGAAGUGGAGAAUAAGAGAAGGGGAGAGAGAGGGGACAUAAACAGGUAAGGGGUGAGGUAGAGGUGGAGAGUAAGAGGAGGGGGAGAGAGAGGGGACAGAAACAGGUAAGGGGUGAGGUAGAGGUGGAGAAUAAGAGGAGGGGGAGAGAGAGGGGACAGAAACAGGUAAGGGGUGAGGUAGAGGUGGAGAAUAAGAGGAGGGGGAGAGAGAGGGGACAGAAACAGGUAAGGGGUGAGGUAGAGGUGGAGAAUAAG